rnacentral:rRNA from 1 species
UACGAAGGGGGCGAGCGUUGUUCGGAUUUACUGGGCGUAAAGGGCGCGCAGGCGGCUCAUUUUGUCAGGCGUGAAAGCCCCGGGCUUAACCUGGGAACUGCGUUUGAUACGUGCUGUCUAGAGUUCGGAAGAGGGUCGUGGAAUUCCCAGUGUAGAGGUGAAAUUCGUAGAUAUUGGGAAGAACACCGGUGGCGAAGGCGGCCUGCUGGGCAGUAGCUGACGCUGAGGCGCGACAGCGUGGGGAGCAAACAGG